rnacentral:rRNA from 1 species
GUGAGGAAUAUUGGUCAAUGGGCGGGAGCCUGAACCAGCCAAGUCGCGUGAAGGAAGAAGGAUCUAUGGUUCGUAAACUUCUUUUGCAGGGGAAUAAAGUGCAGGACGUGUCCUGUUUUGUAUGUACCCUGAGAAUAAGGAUCGGCUAACUCCGUGCCAGCAGCCGCGGUAAUACGGAUGAUCCGAGCGUUAUCCGGAGUUAUUGGGUUUAAAGGGUGCGUAGGUGGUUUGAUAAGUCAGCGGUGAAAGUUUGCAGCUUAACUGUAAAAAUGCCGUUGAAACUGUCGGACUUGAGUGUAAAUGAGGUAGGCGGAAUGCGUGGUGUAGCGGUGAAAUGCAUAGAUAUCACGCAGAACUCCGAUUGCGAAGGCAGCUUACUAAGCUACAACUGACACUGAAGCACGAAAGCGUGGGGAUCAAACAGGAUUAGAAACCCCGGUAGUCC